rnacentral:rRNA from 1 species
UACGUAGGGUGCAAGCGUUGUCCGGAAUUAUUGGGCGUAAAGAGCUCGUAGGUGGCCUGUCGCGUCGGCUGUGAAAACUCGGGGCUCAACUCCGAGCUUGCAUUCGAUACGGGCAGGCUAGAGUUCGGUAGGGGAGACUGAAUUCCUGGUGUAGCGGUGAAAUGCGCAGAUAUCAGGAGGAACACCGGUGGCGAAGGCGGGUCUCUGGGCCGAUACUGACGCUGAGGAACGAAAGCGUGGGGAGCAAACAGG